AGUGGAUAUGCAUGAGUAGGACAUCAGCACGCCUACGCACAAACCAUUUGUGACUUAACCUUACUGUUGCCUCGGCGUAUGCUGGCCCCUAGGGGUCCCUCUUGUCACAAGAGGAGCAGGCACGCCGGCGGCCAAGUUAACUCUUGUUUUUACACUGAAACUCUGAGAAAAAAACAAAAUGAAUCAAAACUUUCAACAACGGAUCUCUUGGUUCUGGCAUCGAUGAAGAACGCAGCGAAAUGCGAUAAGUAAUGUGAAUUGCAGAAUUCAGUGAAUCAUCGAAUCUUUGAACGCACAUUGCGCCCUCCGGUAUUCCGGAGGGCAUGCCUGUUCGAGCGUCAUUUCAACCCUCAAGCCUGGCUUGGUGUUGGGGCACUGCCUGUAAAAGGGCAGGCCCUCAAAUCUAGUGGCGAGCUCGCCAGGACCCCGAGCGUAGUAGUUAAACCCUCGCUUUGGAAGGCCCUGGCGGUGCCCUGCCGUUAAACCCCCAACUCUUUGAAAAUUUGACCUCGGAUCAGGUAGGAAUACCCGCUGAACUUAAGCAUAUCAAAACCCGGAGG
rnacentral:rRNA from 1 species